CCUCCGCCCGUGCCGGGCGCCUGGCAACCGGGGCGCCGCGCAUGUGGGACCGCCGGGGGCCGCCGCUCCCCCGCCGGGCCCCGCGCCCCCCUCCCCGCCCCGGACGAGGCGCUUAACGUGCCCAGGCGUGAAGUAUGGCAUGCAAAGAUGGUUUCUGCCAAGGAGCCAGCCAUCGCCAUGUCCUCGGGUCUCUCCAUCGCCCUCCUGCACUGCCUGUGCCUGGCGACGUGUCUCACCGGGCCGCCCGGGCAGAGCAAAAAAGAGGAGAAAUUGUGGCCGGAGAAUUUCACCAGUAUCCUGAACAGCCUCCUGGAUGGCUAUGACAACCGGCUGCGACCGGGAUUCGGGGGUCCUGUUACUGAAGUCAAAACAGAUAUAUAUGUCACCAGUUUUGGACCUGUUUCUGAUGUAGAAAUGGAAUAUACAAUGGAUGUCUUCUUUCGUCAGACAUGGGUAGAUAAAAGAUUAAAAUAUGAUGGCCCUAUUGAAAUUUUAAGACUUAACAACCUGAUGGUCUCAAAGGUGUGGACUCCUGACACUUUCUUCAGGAAUGGAAAAAAGUCUGUUGCACAUAAUAUGACAGCCCCAAAUAAACUCUUCAGAAUAAUGAGAAAUGGCACCAUCCUGUACACAAUGAGGCUUACAAUAAGUGCAGAGUGUCCCAUGAGAUUAGUGGAUUUUCCCAUGGAUGGUCAUGCUUGUCCUCUCAAAUUUGGGAGUUAUGCUUAUCCAAAGAGUGAAAUGAUUUAUACCUGGACAAAAGGACCUGAGAAGUCAGUGGAAGUUCCUGAGGAGUCUUCCAGUUUAGUUCAGUAUGACCUGCUUGGGCAUACGGUAUCCUCUGAAACUAUUAAAUCUAUUACAGGUGAAUAUAUUGUUAUGACAGUUUAUUUCCACCUCAGACGGAAAAUGGGUUAUUUCAUGAUUCAGACCUAUAUCCCAUGCAUUAUGACUGUGAUCCUCUCUCAAGUUUCGUUUUGGAUAAAUAAGGAAUCUGUUCCAGCUAGAACUGUUUUUGGAAUAACCACAGUGCUGACAAUGACGACACUGAGCAUCAGUGCAAGACAUUCACUGCCAAAAGUAUCCUAUGCUACUGCCAUGGACUGGUUCAUAGCGGUUUGCUUUGCCUUUGUGUUCUCUGCUCUUAUUGAGUUUGCUGCUGUCAAUUAUUUUACUAACAUUCAAAUGGAAAAAGCCAAAAGGAAGACAGUGAAGUCCCUUCUUGAAUUUCCAGUUGCUCCAGUACAAAGAAAAAGAAGUACAGAAGAGACACUCACGAGUACAGAUGCCAAUUCAAAUGUGAGGAAAAGAAUGAAUGCCACGGUACAGUCUGAAGCCGAUGGUGGGAGCCGAAUUGACACAAGGCACAGCUCCAUCCAGCCUCCCUCUGUAGCUCAGGGGUCUUCUGACAUUACACCCCGCUCCUUUUCUGCAUCAAGUCCCAACCCCUUCACACGCAUCAAUGCAUCAGAGACAUUAUCUUCUGCAAGAGCUACCCCUCCGGCUCCUCCUUCUACCCCAAUUUUAACUGGAUUUGUAUCCCAGCAUGCCACAGCUGGAUCCCCUUCCAUUCAGCACUUGCUUGGAUCUAGACUGGAGCAGAUUCAGACCACCACACCUAAUACAUUAGGAGCAUCUGCAAAGCCAUCUGCUGUCACACCACCUCCUCCCCCUGCCUCUCACUCUGGCACGAGUAAGAUAGACAAAUAUGCACGCAUUUUAUUUCCUGUUACCUUUGGAGCAUUUAACAUGGUCUACUGGGUGGUGUAUCUAUCCAAGGAUACCAUGGAAAAAUCAGAAAGUCUAAUGUAGUUUUGCUGCUAUGUAGUAGUUCCUAAAUUAUACUCACAUUUGAUGCAUAGUUUCUUCUUUUGAAACUAUUUAAAAAGGUCAGUAAUUCUUAUUUAUAAAAGCUGUGUGCUACUUUCCUAUUGUAAAGGCUGGAGCUGUUGGGGAUAAUUAGUUAACUCUUACCAGAGUAAUGGGUAACAGUAAUGGGUCUUCCUCCCUUCAGCUAGCAAUGAACCAUCACUCCUUCAGACAAACUACUCUGGAUGUACAGAACUUGUCUUUGGGAGGAACAUGCACUGAAAAAAUCAGAGGCAGAGGUGCACAGCUGUGCAGUGGAACACAUCUGACUGCUAGGAAUAUGCACGUUGGCUAUUACAAAUCCCUGAGGCACCCAGCACUGCUGUCUGAACACAGCAUUGCAUUCUCUGAGUGCGAGGUCCAUGUCCUGAAUAUUUUGACAGUGCUUGCUAGAAAAGGACUGUCCCUGCUAGAUUAAAAUUGGCAGAACAAGGGGAAGAAAAUGAGAAGUGGAAAAAGAAAAGAGAGUCCAGCCUGGGAAAGUGCAACUCUAGGAAAGUUAUGCAAAGGAGUUGUAGAGCUCCGUAUAUUUUUACUAAGCAUUAUUUUGCAUUGUAACUCACUCCAAAAUAAUAAUUGAACCUUGUAAAAUCUGAAAUCUGAUGUAAUUCUCAAAAUUGGAUUUUCUAGUUUGGUAGGGUGAUCUUAACUGUGUGAUUGUUCUUUGACCUUGCUGACCAGCCUGAGUGGAUUUAUUCCUAAAUUACAUCCAUUGUAGUAGAUGAGGACCAGAUCCGCAAUGUUCAACUUUUUAUUUGAAUUCUUUGCUUUUUCCUUGGAUGUUUUGGGGUUUGGUUUUUUCUUUCCUUCUUCCCCCACCCGCCCCAGAUUUUUCAGUUACAUUCUUGAUUGCCUUUGAACACAUGUUCCGCCCCUACUUUAUGUAAUGUUUGUGUCAAGUUAAAUUUUCAACAUAGUUUUAAAAGUGUUCAAAAUUAAGCAAAAAAAAGUCCUGUGCUUUGAUGAGUGCAACCAUGGUAUGUCACUGUGUGAAUGAAAGACACUCUUUUUGUGAAGGACUGCUGUGACAUAAAUAAGAAAAUAAAGUUUCUAGGUAGAGCCCAGGCAAAAUUUAUGAUCCAUUUGUUUAUUUUAAACUAUGGCAUAGAUAGGCACUUUUCUUAGCAUCUCAAUAUGCAAUAUGCAAUAUGCAAGCUGGUGACUUUAUUAAAAAAUCAAAUAGUUAAAUCUGAUAGAAGUCUUGAUCAUAAAUGUUGUUUUCACUGGAACGGGUGGAAGAUACACUGUUAAUACAUAUAAAUAUGUUUGUACAGAUCCAUCUGGCUAGGCAAAUGGUUAGUGUUUCUGUGCAGAUGACAGGUGAAAAUCAGAGGCCAAAUUCUCAGUUGUGAUCUGGCUGUGUCUUUAAAGGGUCUGGACUAAACCUUAGCUCGGUUGAUUGGAAUAGAAAGAAGAUUGGUAGCCUAUGGUCAAAAUCAUAUGCUGCAGGGCAGAUCAGGUGAGUGUUGAGUGUGCCCAGACAGUGAUCAAAGGACUGGUGGAGACCACAAGCAGAUGGGCUAAUUGAGAGCAUUCUGAGACUGCCCUAGACUAUGCUGGGACAAGAGUCAGAAUAAAAAGAACCCAUAGCGCUGAAACCAUGGCUGUGUCCCUGUCUGUCUAUUAAGCUAUGACUGUGCUUCUGGCUCUCCAACCCUUUUAACCAUCUCAUGACUGGGAAUCUGACCUUUAACUUAUGGGACCUGGGAGGUGGCAAGGCUGCUCUUUCAUGCAUAACAUUGGACUGUAGAUGAUAGAAUGCAGAGGAUGUGGGAGUGUCUUACGUGACUUUGAUGUAGUGAUGAUAUAAACAAUUGCCUUAGUCUUUUUUUUCUUAAGGGAUGCUCUCAAAAGGCCAGGUAUAGUCCUUUCUUUUUUUGUCUUUUACAUCUAGAAGAUGUCUGAGAUUACAGCACUCCUUGAAAAUCAUUACAUGCAACAUACCACAGAAUUGGAAAUGAAGCACCCAUGCAAGAUGUCUAACUGCAGUAAUUUGUAUCUUUGGAUGUAUUGCUAGUUGCUGUAGGUGCUUCCUCUCUGAUAAGGUCACAUUGUUACAGAUUGUAAAAAUAGAUGAUAAUAUGCAAGAGAUUGAUUAUUUAUUUUGUUAAAUCAGAAGAAACAAAGCUAAUCCUCUGGCAAUUAUUGGUUAUAAUUACACAAACGAUAAAGUAUUUCUAGCAUGAAGAAUGAUGACUUUCUGUGUGGAGAACCCAGUGUGUGCAGCAGAAGUUACUGAAGUUACACUUGGCUUUCCUCUGUGAUGAAAACCAAGGAUGUUUUUUCUCAGGUGGAGCUUUAAACAAUUCAUUAGAAACAGCUCUUUCUUCCUUCCACCCAUCCUGAUAUACUGAUUUAUAAUCAGCUUUUUCUAGUGCAUUGUUCAGUGGGAUCAGCACUGGUUGAGGCUAAGAUUGAUCUAAAUGUGUUACUUGAAUUCACUUGUAGUUUCAUUUUAAAGACUUAUAGGGAGGAAAAAGGAUUGCAAAAAUUAAUAGAUUACAAAUAUUUAUUUCUAUGCUUCUAUUUUGGAAGAAAUUUUUAAGGAUACCGCAAAAAAAAAAAUUACCUAUUUUAAAUCUGACAGUGUGUUUUUGAAGUACCUUACAACACUUCUAUGCCUACAUCGAAAAUGAGACACAUUUAAAAAAAUCAUUGUGAGUCUAGGACUCAUCUCUUGAACUGUACGACAUUUUUUGUGUUGCAGCAUAUGAAGAAAUUGCCAUAAUUACCUUUCCAAAGUACAUGUGGACAAUGUAAAUAGAAAUUUAUUGGUAACAGUGGUUCUUCCUUAUAUUUAAUCUUCUUGUAGAGUGAUCAGAAACAGUAUAGAGCCUGUAGUAUACUCACUGAUGCUGUAACUCAGGCACAAAAAAAAAAAAAAAGUGGGAAUAUGCUAAAUAUAGCAGACCAAAUGUUCAAAAGUGCUAACUAAAAUCCUGAGGGAAAACAUUGCAGGUGUCAUUUCAGUGACCAAAUGGCUUAUUAUAGCUGAGUUUGAGUGAGAUGAACUCUACAGGAACUUUUUUUUGUUGUUGUUAUUUUUUUUUCCUAUUGGCUUUGUUGAACAAUCUUUUUUUUUUUGAGAGUACCAUAGUGAUUUAAAACUAACCAGACACUUGGGGUAAGUUAUAUCUGUCAACAGGAAAGAAAACUGGAUAGAAAGCCAAAAUCCUUACCAGGGAGUGGGGGUACAUCUCCACUGACUGCAGUUUCCUUGGAGACAUUGUUACCAGCAGCAAAACUCUCACAAAUUGCAGUAGCGCAGCCCUGACCACUAAUGCAGUCGUUUGAGAAAAACAGUUAAAAAUGUGGUUCAGGAAGGUUGCCUUCAUAGAAACUGAAGUGUGUUUUGUAGUCAACUAUGAGCCCUCUAUUAACAGGUUUCACUGCAAUUGUGAAAAUAAUGAAGCUGAGCAAGGUGGUAAACGUAGACCCCUCCGUCUAUGGUGACCUGAGCUCUUAGAGCUCACCAGCAGUACUGGAGUCUGUUUUUCCUCCUACAAAGUGGACUCAUCUCCACCAAAUGGAUGUUGGUGGUGCAUUUCUUCUCCCAUGUGUCUUUUAAGAGGGGAAAAAGUAAACUGUAAACUUUGUAAACAGUUUAGUCAUCCACUUUACAUUACCCUGUGAUCAGACAAGUAGACCAUAUAAUAAUUGAAUGAAAGAGGUAAAUAAUAAGGAAUGUGAAUAGAGCUUUUCUGUUAACAGGAACUAAAAGUUUAUUGAUUAUGGGGUGUUCAAGUAUAGCCUUUGGCCUGUCAUCAUUGUCAUCAUUCAGGAUGGACCUUGCAAAAAAACCGAGAAAAGCCAAGUAACUGUAUUUAAUAGGAUUUAACCAGUAUUUCUACAGAAAAUUGAAUGAACUCAGCUUUUUGAUAUGCACAGAAUUCCAUCUUCUUCCGCUGUCUUGUGUACCUCCUAUAUGUCAUUUGGCCACAGUGUACCUUAAGCUGUGUGCCAUGUGACAAUGUCAGGGGAUGCAGUGUGUAUUUAUCCAGUUUAUCCAAAGCCUAGUGCUCCCAUAUCCCUUGUGCUAUUGGAAGUGGAGGGAAGGCCAGAAUGGAAGAAAUGACCACACUGCUUUGUAAGAGACACGUGUUGGCCACCUGGGACGUCUUCCUGUGGAUACUACAGGAGAUUUCCUAGGAGAAUCUUUCUCAGUGUACUUUAGCACACUGUCCCUCCGAAUACCAAACAUUUCCAAGAGGUCUAUUUGGAAAGCAGAGUAGGUAGGUCAUGGACUUUGCACACUGGACUCCAGAACUUUUGCUUGACCCAAAAGAUUAAGGAGGAAAGAAAUUUUGGUGAGUUUUUUCUUGUCUUCCUGAAACCUGCCAAUAGGGCUUGACCACACUGAAAUAGAAAGGGGUUUUGUGACUGGAACUGUUAUGAAUUGCAAUAGAGACAGCUUAAAAAAAUUUACCCUUGGUUUUAUUUAAUCCUAAUAUUGAAUAACAGAUUAGGAAAAUGGCAGCUGUGUUGAGAAGCCUAGGUGUAGUAUAAUAUCUACUGAUGAUAUUAAUAAAGCCAAGGAUAAUCAAAGUUGUAGAAAUCUUACAGAACUGCAGAGCUAUGUGGCAGUUUAUGGCAGUUCAGUGCUAAGUGGGGAGAACAGGAGGCGCUUCCCUUUGUAGACUGACAGGAGUAAAGCAAUACAGCUUCUCCAUUUAUAUUUGGAGGAAAAAACCUCUAUAAACAAAAUUUCAUACUCAGUGAAAAACCACAGGGUAAAAAACUAUGGAGGUCAGUAUUAACCACCAAUCACAAACCCCAAAAAACUAGGAAAAAAAUCCAGGAAAAAAUUGAAAUUAAUUUAAAGUUAAAUGACAAUAACGUCUUUUUUUCCUAUUUUUUUUUCAAGAGCUUAUAUUUCUUUCACUGAGGGAUUCCAAAGUAUGUUUAUAUUGUUGUAAGGACCUAUACUGGUAUUCACUGACACCAAUAUGUGUUUUUCAUUUACUUCAAUCCACUUGAAACAGGAAGUUUAAAAAGGAAAAAUGUGCCAUUUUGAAAGAGUCUGAUAUGCAUUAAUUUGUGCAGUUUUCAUUUGUAGAAUCAAGAUAUAACUAUUUUGGAGAAUGCUAGUGUGGUUAAUAGUUUCACCAUGUUCUGAGUAAAUCAGACUUCAAAAGUAAGUUUUUGCCACAUCCAAGGAAGUGAGAGUAGUGUGGAGUAUAGAACACCCUGUAGAGAUGUCUCUUUGCUAAUAUUUUGUACUGUUUUCUUGAGGGAAUGAAAAACGCAGUUAAUGUAAAAUUGAUAGAAUUUGUAAACAUACUUUCUUUUCACAUGAAUUAAAUAAUGCAGUAGGUUUUUAUUUCAGAACUGAAUAGCGUUGCAUUCUAGUCUCUAACUUAUUGCAUCUACAAGUAUCUCUUACAUUUUCUUAUGCUUUUUGUAUUAUUCCACUAUAAAGGAUUUUAAAGCAAGCCAUUGCAGUUCACUGCAUUUUUUGGUCGUAUUUCUAUUUUCAUUUUCAUUGAGAGGAACCGAGAACAUGAUCGCUUCUUCAAAAUAAAAAUAACAGCAGCAAAAAUAAAAAGCCUUGGAGAUUCCCUUUUUUAGAAAACCAUCCAAACUCCCAUCAAUUAUUGAAUGCUCUUCUUAAAUAAUAGCAUAGUUUUGGCAUUAAAAAUACUAAUGCUGUUGCAGCAGCUGGAUACGUAUAUACAUAUAUCCAUAGAAAUAAUUCCCUAAAUUGUAAGGAAGCAAACUCAAAUGCGCUUGCUAAUAGUCUUGUUUUGAAAGAGUACCCUUCUGGAUGGAAAACACCAUGUGAGGUAGGUGGUUUUUUUUUUUUUUUUUUUUUUUUUUUUUUUUUUGUUCAUACAUCUAUUUUCAGGAAGAGUAUCUGUAGGAAAAGUAUAGUACUAUUGAAUUAAUCUUCAACUAGCACAGAGAUCUGGAUUAUUUCAUGCUGGUGGUCUUUCUGUUGUUGAUCUCCUUCAACAUUUGCUUAGUGUUUUUUUGAAUGCUGUAUCCAAGUUGCUGUUAAUUGACAUAGUAAUCUUUGGAUGAUCUGAUGGCAUAAAGAAACACUUAAGGAAAUAAUCAUUAUUUUUGAAUACAUUUUCAUCCUUGGAAGAAUGUUAACUGGGUGUUGGUUGAAGAAGCAGGUGACAGUAUGAAGCACUCAGCUGGACUUCUGAGCUUGAUGCAUUGCAAAAUUUAGUUGAUUACUGCUUUGUCUUGCCUCAUCAUCCUGUCUUGGUGGCUCAUCUCCAUGGUGAGUAAAACUGCUAUGAGAACAGAAGACUCAGAAGUAAAGAACUUUCUUUAAAGUUAUUUCAAAAUACGCGAUAGUUAACCGUAUUACUAACAGUAACUUCACGGUAUGCUUUAUAUUUGCAAAUUUUAAAAUUUCCUUCUCUCUUAGAAUGUACUAGGUUGUCAAAUAAAUAAGGAGAUACUUGUCAUAAAUACACGAUUCUGUAUGUAUAUGUAUUUCAUUUUUUAUUUAUUUCUGGCAACAUUCUCUAUAACCAGAGCAGUGGUGGAGGUUUGAGGCAUUUCAGAUAACCAGAGUUCUCGAGCAGUUACAUGAAAAUAUUUGUUUCAUAGAUACAUGCCUUUGCAAAUCAAUACCAGCAGUGCUUUCAUGGUGGAAAUUAAUCCACUUGUGAAAAAUCCUGGCCUUGAGUACUUAACCUGUAUUUGAAGGGCUGAUGAAGUAUAUUGGGCAUGGCAGGACUCAGAGCAUGUUUUAUUCUAAGAGGCUUCUGGGUUGGAGCCGGAUUAUGUCCUGCUGUGCUCUGAAGCAAUCUGCACUAGAGAGACUAUAAGCAGAAUCCAUGGGUUUUUGUGGCUCUUUUUUAAGACCCCACUGUAAAAGUAUAUUAUGAAUGUACUGCUCUCAUCUUCUUCCUUAUUGUCUUGCUUUGUGUGGGGAGAAGUAUUUCAGUGCUUGUGGCGAGCAGGCUGAAAUAACUUGUCUAGCUAAAACCCAAGUUUGUCUUGUUGACUUUUGGCUGGUUAGUAGCGGUGGAAUGUGUCUGAUCUGGCUCCUUGUCUUAGUACUGAUACAAAGGAGGGGGUGAGAAGGCUGGAUUGAUGCUUUGAGCUGGAUUAAAGCUGAUGUGAAACCGCAGUCUGAGGAUUCUCAUCCUACCUCCACUGGCAUUAAAACAAAGGCAGUUGUUUUAAUGCCAGUGGCAUUAAAACUGGCUUUUUCAAACCUCUGGUACCCCCCGUGGUCAUUUUUCCUCCACAAAGGUGAUUUUUUGAAUUAUAUCUAUGACAAAAAAAUGGAGGAAAAAAAGUAGAAGCAGACCAGAGUUUAUGAAAGAGCCGAAAUCAAUGAAGUUAUUUGAAGAGAGAGAAAAGAAAGAGAAGGGAAAACAUGAGUACGGAUGAAAAAUGUUUCUUGCUACCAAGCAGUUAUUUUAAGAUAUGUCCUAUUAGAGGUACUAGAACUGCAUCUGGCAGGAAACAGGCUAGAAAUAAUUAUUUCUUAAUUAUAAGUAUAAUGAGAAAGUAAUAAAGAAAAUUGUCUAAUGUCCUGUUAUAAACAUUUGUGUUUCAUGAAGCUGUUUUCAAAAAAUGGUAUUUUCAUUACCAGCCAGGAAGAAUUAGGAGACAGAAUGGUAGGGGAAAAAGAUUGAGUUUUAUUAAGUAUAACUCUUUCCCUCUGUUUUAGAACAUUUCUCAACCAAAAAUGUAAACAGUAACAUUUUUUUAAUCUUUCUGGAACUGUAUAUAUUUAAUCUUCAGUAAUGAAGCACUUUAGAAUGUUUAGCAUUUAACUUGCUUUAUGUUUAAGAGACUGAAUAUCAUUGCUGUCUCUGAUUUAAUUCAGUUCAUAGAGGGGAUGGUGGGAAGUAAAAACUUUCAUUACAGUAACAGCCACUUUUUUGAAGUGUCAUGCCUUCCUCCUAAAUCUGAGGACUUCAUUCCUGUACCUGAAUUCAUGGGAGCUGUUUAGUGCUGAGCAUUUCUGAUAAUCCAGUCAGUGCUACAGCUUGUGGAGUGCAGCUGCAUUUAAAUUUGGCAUGUCUGAAAAUGUAUGUCCACAACCUUGGCACUUGCACAUUGUGGAUCCCAUGAAAGAGAAAGAUGUGCUUGUAACCCACCAUAUGGGUCCAUGAGAGCUGUUACACUGCUCAUGUGGGAGAAGAUAGAAUCUGUGGUCAUGAACAAAGGAUAAGGACAGUGAGACUGCCUCUUUUAGAGACUGUGCAGAUCUUAUAUUGAAUUAAGGCUCUUAUGAAAAUGCCCCCUAAACUCUUUUCCAAGUAGACAGCUUAGGAGCAAGCUGAGUGCAAUGUGGAAUUCAACUGCCAAUCCUGCAUAAGGAUCAGCACAGUUAAUCUGUCCUAAGGUUUCUGGUGCUGUGGCUAGAAGACUGGAAAGAUGUGAGGUAGCAACUGCUGCCAGCUGGAACACGUUCAUGUUGCUGUGUAUCCAAGCUGUACUGUAUGGUAUCAGGGUCUUUGGCAUACUGGGGGUGGGAUGGAAAAUGCUUUUUUGGAGUACAGAAUAGGGCAGAAUGACAACUCUUCCUUUGGCUCAGCACUGCUCAUAUUCACUGUAACAGCACUGAACAUCUGAAAGGAGGACUAAGGUGUAUUGCAGUCUUCUCUUCUCCUCACAUGUCUGCUAAAUGUUCUGAUGUGGAAUGUGGUGGGAGUGACAAGUACAUGUCUGGUAAUGAAACAGAACAUCUUUAGUAGUGCUGCCUGGUAGUACCCACAACCUUAUGCCAGCAGCCUGUGGCCCUUCCCAGAAGCACAACUGCAUCACUGAUUUUUUUUUGUUUGUUUUUGUUUUUGUGGGCCCCUACCACCUCUCCUGUAGCUUAAAUGUUGGAAAAAGGUGUUUUCUCUUUGGCCCUCAUUUCUCCAUUUUGUUGUGUAUUUAUGAAGAAGAAAAUCCAACUGAAUUUUUCUUUGGUUUUUAAUUUAUUUUUUAAAGAGGCUUUCUUACCUGCACACAUGGAAAUCACAAGCUCCAUUGCAAACUUUAGGAAGGUAGCAAACUCUUCUAAACCAACUUCAGGAGUCUCUCUAUCCUUCUAUUAAAAAGAUAACUUUUGUUUUCAAAUUAAUUUGGAGAAUAUUUGGUUAAAACUUUAUAAAUUUUACAUAUAAAAAUAUUUUCUCUCUACUGAAAGUGUGAAUUUUAUUUGUAGCCAUUUCACUUAGGAAGAUAAGGCACAAUGAAUGUGUGUGGGUUUUCUCUUAAGCUAGUUAAUAUAUGUCAUGGUGGAAAAGAUGCUUAGCUGUGUGAUAUUCAGUAGUCAUUUCAUAAGUACAUGGGUGGUAUUUUUUUAUUUUGGAGAGUGUGAAGAUGAUACACAAACAGAAGGUGAGAAAACUCUAGAGAGAGAUUUUAAAAGACUGCUUCUCACUUUCUCUCUGGAUAUCAUAUAAGUAUAGUGAAAUCAGGUAAGAAAAAAUAUGUGAAUAAAAGAAAAGACCUUUUUUGAUCUUCACACUGUCAGCUAGUCUUACUAAGUAUGGAAGUUUACAGCUUCCCUGUAUGCUUCCAAGUUUUCUCUCUGCUGUGCCACGGGGGAAGUGCACAAGGUCAUGCCUUUUCAAAUAAGACCUAGGAAUUUUUAGGUUCAGUUAAUCAGUCAGGAGGACACUCAGUGCUGGCCUUGCUGAGUUGGGAACAUGGUUUUGUAGAUCUAAAUUUUGUCUUGAUGGAGCAAUCUGCUCAGCAGGAGAAGGUAUCCCAGUUCUGGGUCAGAACAGUUGAGGCAUUUUGCUGAGGUAAAAUGCGAGAGUUGAAUUAGGCUUAUGGGCUGCUCAUUAGCUAUUUAAAACCCCCCAAGUGUAUAAUCUAAACCCACACUUUGGCACGGUCUGGUACUUUUGCGCUGCUUUGAUUUGUUCCAGAUCUGUCUCUGACUUUGCUCCCUUGCCUUGUGGCUGAGGUGGGGAGCAGCAGUUUCAAGGAUGGCGUGGGGUUCACAUACCUUCCCUUCAACCAUGAGCUCUCUGUGCUCCAUCACCAGGGGAUCACAUCUCCAUCACCAGGGGGGACAGCAAAGUCUGGGCAGGGAGAGGGUGUGCACCCAUGCCACUGACAGAUAAACUCUGGCAGUCAAGCAGCAAGGCACACAGUGGGUAGAGUUGGAGUUCUGAAGUAGUAGUGUUUAAGGAUUGUUUUCUGGAUUUCAAGAUCCUGUGCUAGUGCAGUGGCAUAAACCACUUUGGUUGCUUGAAAUACAAGUCAGUUGUAGAGCAGACAAAGGAUUUUCUGGUUUCUGAAUUUUCUGACUGAGUGCUAGGACUGCCAGUCUGCUCAUGCUGUGUGCUGCUGUGGCAAGGACCAUCAGACUUGGGUGUUUGUAAAGAGUGCUGCAUCACUAGCAAACAUACAGAGCAGCAACAGUGUACUAAAAGCCUGUCUGCAGACAGUAUUUACUUGCUGGUAAUAAGUAAAUAAGCCCUGCUAGUGGUCGCCUUGGGUUCCUUUUUUCUCCUCCUCACCUUUACCUACCACCCUUGCGCUCUGCCAGUUCUGAUAUUCCAAAUUGCUGAGGCAAUUUGUGAGCUGUUAAAAUUGGUCUAUCUAAUGAAUGAUAUGAAAUACCCUUUUGCUCUCAACUCACUGUUGAGAGACAGGCUGGGAGAUAUCAACUAAUUCAAAGUUUAAGACCUGUACCAACUGAGGAACGAAAAAAAAGAAAAAAGGGGAAUUUCUGUGUGAGGUGUAGCUAUAUCUGCUAUAUCUGUGUGCCAUUUUUAAGAUGGAAAGCAGUAAAAAAAUCAAGAAUACAGUAUUUACAGAUAUUUUAAUUUACUAUAAGCUUUUCUUUUCCUGAGAAGCCCUGUCCACUGUGACCAAAGCAUUUGGGUUUAGGCUUAGACAUUGUAAGGAAGACUCCCAGUGAAAAAUAUGAAGCUUUUGGAAGUAUUUUUAUUUUUCUGUAAAAGUAGUGGCAUGCAGAAAAUCUACACUAAACAAACAUAGUAGAAAUGCUUCUUUAACACCCUCUAUAGAAAAGUCCUAAAUCCCCUAACUUCUCUGUCAAUAAUGUAACUACUUCUGCAAUAUGUAACUGUCCUAGAUGCAUGUUGCAAGAGUUUCUGUGCCAUGUCAGAUUCUGUUUAUCCCUUUGUAUUGGCUCAUACAUGCAGAAAAACUGAAAGGAAAUCAAGGCAAGGGAAGUCUUGAGGUUGAAUUCUUUUACACCAUUCCUGGUGCACAUUUUAGUUGCAUGGAAAAAACGUGGCUGGAAGGAUUGGAAGAAUCAGAGGUUAACUAAAUUAUUUGAAUGCAUAUGUUCAAUGCUGGUCACCUGACUAUACUAACAAACUUAAAAGGUGGUUUGAUAGGUGUCAACUUGUUUUGCUAUUGUGCAGCUUAACUGUUACCUUCCUGUAUUAUGAACAUCUAUGUAUUUGGAAAAUAAAUCCAUCUUGCAAGAACGAUUGUGCAAAAAAUUGUUCCUAUUAUACUCCAAUGUAUAUUGCUAAUGUCAAAUAAAAUACAAUUGUGAGAGUUCUUAAA